UACGUAGGGGGCAAGCGUUGUCCGGAAUCAUUGGGCGUAAAGCGCGUGUAGGCGGCUCGGUAAGUCCGCUCUGAAAGUCCAGGGCUCAACCCUGGGAUGCGGGUGGAUACUGCCGGGCUCGAGUCCGGAAGAGGCGAGUGGAAUUCCUGGUGUAGCGGUGAAAUGCGCAGAUAUCAGGAAGAACACCCGUGGCGAAAGCGGCUCUCUGGAACGGUACUGACGCUGAGACGCGAAAGCGUGGGGAGCGAACAGG
rnacentral:rRNA from 1 species